rnacentral:rRNA from 1 species
AAUGAACGCUGGCGGCAUGCCUUACACAUGCAAGUCGAACGGCAGCAUGACCUAGCUUGCUAGGUUGAUGGCGAGUGGCGAACGGGUGAGUAAUGCAUCGGAACGUGCCUUUUAGUGGGGGAUAACGUAGCGAAAGUUACGCUAAUACCGCAUAUUCUCUGAGGAGGAAAGCAGGGGGCCUUCGGGCCUUGCGCUAGAAGAGCGGCCGAUGUCGGAUUAGCUAGUUGGGGAGGUAAAGGCUCACCAAGGCAACGAUCCGUAGCGGGUCUGAGAGGAUGAUCCGCCACACGGGGACUGAGACACGGCCCAGACUCCUACGGGAGGCAGCAGUGGGGAAUUUUGGACAAUGGGCGCAAGCCUGAUCCAGCCAUGCCGCGUGAGUGAAGAAGGCCUUCGGGUUGUAAAGCUCUUUCGGCUGGGAAGAAAUCGCACUCUCUAAUACAGGGUGUGGAUGACGGUACCAGCAGAAGAAGCACCGGCUAACUACGUG